GGUCUGAUGGUGUAAUUUUAACACGUCCUCUUUCCGUUCCCCUUCCACAGAAUCUGAUGAGGAAGUUCCCUGUUCAAUUCGGGGUCAGACCA